AUACGUAGGGUGCAAGCGUUAAUCGGAAUUACUGGGCGUAAAGCGUGCGCAGGCGGUUUUGUAAGACAGUGGUGAAAUCCCCGGGCUCAACCUGGGAACUGCCAUUGUGACUGCAAGGCUGGAGUGCGGCAGAGGGGGAUGGAAUUCCGCGUGGAGCAGUGAAAUGCGUAGAUAUGCGGAGGAACACCGAUGGCGAAGGCAAUCCCCUGGGCCUGCACUGACGCUCAUGCACGAAAGCGUGGGGAGCAAACAGGAUUAGAUACCCUGGUAGUCCACGCCCUAAACGAUGUCAACUGGUUGUUGGGGAUUUAUUUUCUCAGUAACGAAGCUAACGCGUGAAGUUGACCGCCUGGGGAGUACGGCCGCAAGGUUAAAACUUAAAGGAAUUGACGGGG
rnacentral:rRNA from 1 species